GAGAGUGGGUCGUCCGCAACGAGCGCAACCCCUAUCCUAGUAUGCCAGCACAUCAUGGUGGGAACUCUAGGCCAGACUGCCUUUGUUAAGCAGGAGGAAGGUGGGGAUGACGUCAAGUCCUCAUGGCCCUUACGUCCGGGGCUGCACACGUGCUACAAUGGCCGGUACAAAGGGCUGCGAUACCGCGAGGUGGAGCCAAUCCCAAAAAACCGGUCUCAGUUCGGAUUGGAGUCUGCAACUCGACUCCAUGAAGGUGGAAUCGCUAGUAAUCGUGGAUCAGCAUGCCACGGUGAAUACGUUCCCGGGUCUUGUACACACCGCCCGUCAAGCGAUGAAAGUCGGGAAUACCCGAAGUCGGUCGCCCAACCCGCAAGGGAGGGAGCCGCCGAAGGUAGAUCCGGUAAUCGGCGCUAAGUCGUAACAAGGUAGCCGUAUCGGAAGGUGCGGCUGGAUCACCUCCUUU
rnacentral:rRNA from 1 species